rnacentral:lncRNA from 1 species
AUUCACUGGUAAAAUGUGGGCAGGGACUCAGACUUCAAUGUGUCUUUGUAGAGGAUGAUCCUACCCACAACGGCUCUUAGUCUUUGCCCCUUGGCCUCCUGCAAUUAUCUCCAGGAAGAGUUAAGUUACCCUCGGGACUUUGUUAUCCUUUAGCUCCGGCUCAAGAACCAACAGACUCACUGAGCAGCAGUCUCCUUCCACCCUCACCCCUACCACCUCCGCUGGGCCUGAUCUGAAAGCACCCACAGGCACUGGACCAAGUCAGCUAUUCACACCAUCUGAUCCACGGGCCACAGGACACAGGAUUGCUCUGCCACUCACCCUUUAGAGGUGGUUUACUAAGCACCCUGUCUCCGAAGUAUCCUCUUAAUGCAAUUAGUUAUUUUAAAAUUAAAAUAACUUAGAACAAGAACUAAACUCCUUCUUAAAACGGAAUCUGUACCAUUAGUGUGUAGAGUCUAGCAUCCUGUCUGAAGAAGCUACAGAAUGCAAAUCUGAAUCCUCCUAUGUGGUAGCCAAAUUAUGAUCCCCAACUUUCCUCCCCCCACCCCCCUCCAUCAUCUGGCCAUGCAGCGACUCUGCACACUCUUUAUUGAGCCCCAGCUCUCAGUUCUGCUUGGUAACUGAAAACCACUACGUGAGGGAAAUGUCUUUCACAAAGGCAACAAAAGCCAUAAAAUAAAUAAAUACCUCCUUAAAUUGCC